rnacentral:tRNA from 1 species
GGCAAGAUGGCCGAGUGGUUAAGGCGUAGCAUUAAGGAAGGUAUCUUGUGACAACAAGAAAACCUGCUAUCUUCGGGCGUGGGUUCGAAUCCCACUCUUGUCA